UUCCCUCGAUGAGGAAAAAGGGAAAGGGCGAACUAGUAAAUAAAUCACGAUUAACUCACAAGUGGACUCUUUAUUGAGCCUAAUAACAAUUACAAACAACAAAUUGCGAGAGAAAAAAAAGUACGACCGUCGUCUUCGGGAGUUUGGGGAAGAAGGGACGCGGCGUGGCUUUAAGCUCAAGUGGCGCGCGACGCAAGACGCUUACUGCGUCGAGGAUGCACGCCAUCUGCCGUUGCGCUUCGAAGUGAAGCUUUUGGCGCCACAAUUAUUAUUGUAUAUUAUCAUGUACAUCAAUUUUUGUGUUUGUAGUACUUUUAAAUGAAUUCUAAUAGAUAUUUCUUCAAAUUGAACUGCUUUAAAUAGUGUUGAUGCUCUUAUAUCGAUAAUGCGUUCUGACCAAAAAACCUCAACCUUUUCAAGUUUGGUGUUAGAUGGUUUAUUUUACCAUGUACCAACAUGUUUAGUUUACCAAGUACCCAGACAUUAAAUUCUAAUUUUAGCGGGCAUAUUUCUGCCUUACAAGAUGGAAAAGAAAAGCGACUAAUUUUACUAUAUCAAAGAACAAAUGCCUCUCUUACGAUGGAAAAAAUAAGAUUCCUUAUAUUAGUUCCGAUAAAAAGGAUGAUUUUAUCAACAUCGAAGAGGUUUCAGUUUGACAACGUUUUUUGAAUAUAAAAAAAAUCUAUAUUAAGCAUAAAUGGCAGAGUCAUAAAUACCAUAAACGAUUAUAGAUUGAAUUUCAGAGUUGGACAUAUUGAAAAAUUCAUCGCAGAGAAUGUAAAUUUUUCCAAAACAAACUUAUGGCAUACUUUUGAAUUGUGUGACAAAUCUAAAUAUGUAGUGUUUGUGGUAAGCAUCGAUUUAUGCAAUAAAUUUAAGUGGUAUUUUAUACCUGA